rnacentral:rRNA from 1 species
CUACGGGCUGCAGCAGUGGGGAAUAUUGCACAAUGGAGGAAACUCUGAUGCAGCAACGCCGCGUGGAGGAUGACACUUUUCGGAGCGUAAACUCCUUUUAUAUAGGAAGAAGAUGACGGUACUAUAUGAAUAAGCGCCGGCUAACUCCGUGCCAGCAGCCGCGGUAAUACGGGAGGGCGCAAGCGUUACUCGGAAUCACUGGGCGUAAAGAGCGUGUAGGCGGAUUAAAAAGUCAGAAGUGAAAUCCUAUAGCUUAACUAUAGAACUGCUUCUGAAACUCUUAAUCUAGAAUAUGGGAGAGGUAGAUGGAAUUUCUGGUGUAGGGGUAAAAUCCGUAGAGAUCAGAAGGAAUACCGAUUGCGAAGGCGAUCUACUAGUACAUUAUUGACGCUGAGACGCGAAAGCGUGGGGAGCAAACAGGAUUAGAUACCCCGGUAGUC